GAACCAUCAUGCCCAUCCUGUUCCUCAUCCUUGGCACUUCCCAAAUCAUCCCAGAGCCGAAGAAUUGUAGCUGAAGAAGAUAUUAUGCCAGGAUUAUUGUCAAUGAACUCCACAGCUUCGCUGGAUACACCAUAACCCAGUAGAAAGAAAAUGUGAACAAGAACUACAUGUACACCUGAACUUACAAUCCCAUUCUCCAGGUACUCUCCAGCACUUGGC
rnacentral:misc_RNA from 1 species